rnacentral:rRNA from 1 species
UACGAAGGGGGCUAGCGUUGCUCGGAAUCACUGGGCGUAAAGGGUGCGUAGGCGGGUCUUUAAGUCAGGGGUGAAAUCCUGGAGCUCAACUCCAGAACUGCCUUUGAUACUGAAGAUCUUGAGUUCGGGAGAGGUGAGUGGAACUGCGAGUGUAGAGGUGAAAUUCGUAGAUAUUCGCAAGAACACCAGUGGCGAAGGCGGCUCACUGGCCCGAUACUGACGCUGAGGUGCGAAAGCGUGGGGAGCAACAGGG